UCGAACGGUAGCAGGGUGUGCUUGCACAUCGCUGACGAGUGGCGGACGGGUGAGUAAUGCUUGGGAACUUGCCUUUGCGAGGGGGAUAACAGUUGGAAACGGCUGCUAAUACCGCAUAAUGUCUUCGGACCAAACGGGGCUUAGGCUCCGGCGCAGAGAGAGGCCCAAGUGAGAUUAGCUAGUUGGUGGGGUAAAGGCUCACCAAGGCAACGAUCUCUAGCUGUUCUGAGAGGAAGAUCAGCCACACUGGGACUGAGACACGGCCCAGACUCCUACGGGAGGCAGCAGUGGGGAAUAUUGCACAAUGGGGGAAACCCUGAUCUAGCCAUGCCGCGUGUGUAAUGAAGGCCCUAGGGUCGUAAAGCACUUUCGCCAGAGAUGAUAAUGACAGUAUCUGGUAAAGAAACCCCGGCUAACUCCGUGCCAGCAGCCGCGGUAAUACGGAGGGGGUUAGCGUUGUUCGGAAUUACUGGGCGUAAAGCGCACGUAGGUGGAUUAGUAAGUUAGAGGUGAAAUCCCAGGGCUCAACCCUGGAACUGCCUUUAAUACUGCUAGUCUUGAGUUCGAGAGAGGUAAGUGGAAUUCCGAGUGUAGAGGUGAAAUUCGUAGAUAUUCGGAGGAACACCAGUGGCGAAGGCGGCUUACUGGCU
rnacentral:rRNA from 1 species